ACUGAUAAACGGCCAAUGUUCAUCGAGCUCAGGAGCCGACGGGGCAACUUCAGGCCUUGCUGCUGCCGUUGCUUCGAGUCGCCGGGCCAGAAGACCGCGUGAGGGAGAUGAUCAGAUGCUACGCCUCAGCCCAAAACAAGCUUAGGACUUGCGGCUCUCCGGGCGCUGCUUGACACCGACGCCGGUAACAAUGAUCAGAGUCGGAGCUCCGGUGAGAACAGUAGGAAGAAGCAGCUGAAACUGGAGGGUGGGUAUAUGUAAACUCUGCAAUUGUGCUAAAUUAGAGAUGAACAGGAUCAUUUAAAUCAAUAUCAACAACAGUACAAUCAAAUUAGAUGUAACUUACAAAUGCCGAAUACAGAAUAAGUUGUCAUGGAGAGGAAGAGACGGCAGACGCCUAGACGAAGACGGGGAGAGUAGUCGACGACGGGAAGACGAUGGAAAAUAGAGUGGGGAAGGGUGAGGUAAUAAGGAAAGGAAGGUUAUUGGAUCAUGUAAAAACGAUAUAUAUGGAUGUUUUGAAUGCAUUCCUCAGCAUUAAUGCAUUGGUUGUAUGUUUGAAAUGUGAUA